AUGGCAGGGGCAUGAGAGCCAUAAGAACGUCAGCUUUUGGUGCAACAUGAAGUAUAUGUUUAGUAAAAGACAAAAUGGACUAGUAAAAUUUGUUGCAUUUAAAUCCUGAAACUUAUGAAGUAUUAAAAGAUAGUCAUUCUGUGCAAAAAUAUUUCAAAUCUGCAAGCUGCAUUGAUUAAGACAUUAAAGUGCACAAAAGAUACUCUGAAGUGACGCUAUUUCGCCAAUACAACUUGAAACUUGUGCAAAGUAGCAAUUCGAUAUAGUUGCAAAUGAAUGAAUUUAUUUGUGCUGUACAUGGUGAUUGCGCAUUUUUGUCUUUAUAGAAAUUUUUGUAAAAGCAGGACUAAGUGGAAAUAUUUAUGGUUGCAAAUUUAGCUCUUUGUGCACAACAAAUUCCUUUCUCCACUGCUUCCAAGCUAGAAAAGUGUUAUUUUUUAACAAAGUUCUGAGACCUGCAAUUGUCAGCUGUGUGUUUCUGCCAUGCUGUUUUUUUACGCUUUCAGGCAUGCUUGUUCUGGGACAAUAUUCUUGGCACCUUUUGCAUCACCAGUUAUUAGGUAAAACAAAGCAGCCACCACCAAGAUUUUGAGGACCAUCAAACUGUGGAGACACCACCACAGGUAGUGGUUAAAAAAAAAGCGACAUGCCUCCUAAUUGAAAAGCAAGUGCACCGAACAAACGAGUCCAAGGUCUGAAAAACAAAAGAAGCAAAGCCUGAUGAAAAAAAAAUGAAACUGCCAUGAAAAUAGGAAGUUCAAAAAACAAAAUUGCUUUCAUGAUGGCACUGCUGUAUUUAUCAUAGUACCUAAUGAUAUCCAGCAAUUGCCCAUGUAGCAGAAACAAACUUACGUGAUUUUCCAAACUCUGAACUGGUUUAUUGCAACAGCAGCAGACCCAACACAUUGGAUAGUGUCUUGAGAACAGCGUUGCUAUGUGCAAGUUUUCGCUACAGUAUUGCUUGCUGGCUUCUAAAAUAAACGUGCAGAUUCCCUCUCAGA